rnacentral:tRNA from 1 species
GCGGGAGUGGCGAAACUGGCAGACGCGCUGGGUUCAGGGUCCAGUGGGCGCAAGCUCGUGCAGGUUCAAGUCCUGUCUCCCGCACCA